CGCAAGCACCGCACGCAGCCCCGGUUCCCGCCUGGGCCUCUCCCUCCACAACCCCCGCAAGCUGAGGGAGCCGGCCCCGGCCUUGGCCUGCCCAGAAAGGGGCUCCCACAGUGCAGCGGCAAGCUGAAGGGCUCGUCAAGUGCCGCCAAAGUGGGAGCCCAGGCAGAGGAGGUGCCGAGAGCGAGUGAGGGGUGUGAGGACUGCCAGCACGCUGUCACCUCUCACUUGGAUCCUGCAUAUGUAAGAGAAGAAAAUAAGUGCAACAUGCCAGAAAUCCAGUAAAGCAGUUCAAGUAUCAGAAGAGCGUGAAUCAAAACCAAGUGCAAGAAGAGGCACCUUGACAUUGAACUGAAGGCCACCAGUCUCCUGCCAGUGCUUCCAAUCGCUGAACUGAACUGGGAACAAAUCAACAAGGGAAACCAAGAGAUGCAUUCCUUGAAGUUCAGCCUCCAGGCCUCAAGUAAGGCAGAGGAAGAGAAUACAUAGAUCUGUGGAGAAGAGUGGUGAUGGUGGGAGCUGCCAAUAAAGAACUAUCAAAAAAGACGAAGUCUUUGUCGUCCAGGCUAGAGUGCAGCUGUGUGAUCUCAGCUCAUUGUAACCUCCACCUCCUGAUACAAGCAAUUCUUCUGCCUCAGCCUCCUGAGUAGGUGGGACUACAG
rnacentral:lncRNA from 10 species